GACGAACGCUGGCGGCGUGCUUAACACAUGCAAGUCGAACGGAAAGGCCCUGCUUUUGUGGGGUGCUCGAGUGGCGAACGGGUGAGUAACACGUGAGUAACCUGCCCUUGACUUUGGGAUAACUUCAGGAAACUGGGGCUAAUACCGGAUAGGAGCUCCUGCUGCAUGGUGGGGGUUGGAAAGUUUCGGCGGUUGGGGAUGGACUCGCGGCUUAUCAGCUUGUUGGUGGGGUAGUGGCUUACCAAGGCUUUGACGGGUAGCCGGCCUGAGAGGGUGACCGGCCACAUUGGGACUGAGAUACGGACCAGACUCCUACGGGAGGCAGCAGUGGGGAAUAUUGCACAAUGGGCGGAAGCCUGAUGCAGCAACGCCGCGUGCGGGAUGACGGCCUUCGGGUUGUAAAACGCUUUCGCCUGUGACGAAGCGUGAGUGACGGUAAUGGGUACAGAAGCACCGGCUAACUACGUG
rnacentral:rRNA from 1 species